CAGAAUUAAUGGAAGACAUUCAGAUCAUUAACAAUAAAUUCGAAAUGCUGUUUGCUAUAAUGUAUUGUUAUAAUCUAUAUGGAUUUAGUAUCCUUAUAACAGUAGUUGUGUUUUACGAUUUACCCAAAGAAUUCGAAAUUGGUGCAGUAAUCAUUAUUCCAUGUUUUAUGUGUGAAUUUAUGAUGAUUGCCUUUGGAUUGUCUAGGUUGACAUCUUCGGUAAAGCUUCGUUAUUAUCUGUAUUAUAAACUAUUAUAUAUGUCUUGACGAAUGAUUAAUGUAUAUUUUAGCUUUAUGGAAACUUCAACAACAUCGAUAGAUUCUUUGCAUCGAGAUUUUCUCUCGUAUUCAAACUGAAGAUGCUGAAUUUCAUGAAGAGAUUCGGGAAAACUCCGAUUGGAAUAUCUGUGGGUGGAUUUUUUCGAGUCAAACGUAAUUUUCCGAUUAAAAUGUUGAGUAGUCUCUAUUCUAUCUUGAAAGCGUUUAUCGAAUUAGGAAAGACGAGAAAGCGUACAGAAUGUACUUCAUUCCAUUUUGCCAACGAAAGCAAUAUUCGGAAUCUAUCAGAAUAUUGAUGACGUGUGUAAAUGUACAAAUAUAAUUGUAGAAACAUCUGCAAAUUUUCUACAUUUAGCAAAAAUGUUAUGUGUACCAGGGGUUACUAAACUUUUUUCUCUGCGGGCCGGAUAGCUAAGAGAAUGAUGAGCGCGGGCCGCAUAACCACUCUGUUCAAUACAGUACACUGAAUACACGAAAAACUAAGACAACAAACAUAUUUAUUUAUCAAUACCCAAACACGAUCGCUGCAGCAAGCUCGUAAUCACUUUUCUUAGAAGCUAUAUUGCAUGUAAUAAUUUCACAAAAGGCGCUGUGAUAUCCAAAUUUGCAAAUUCUCGCCGAAUUUUUUAUUUCACUGAUUUUCCUAAAAAUUGUGUUACUGCCAUAUGCAAAAAUCAGAAUAUCACUUAUGGUAGCUGCUAUUUCGUUGUGGAUGUGUCUCUUUAAUUCGAUCAAUUCAGUUCGGUAGACUAUCAAUACAGCUUUCAGGCUAGAUACUUUUUUUAUUGUUUUGACAUAUGCAUUUUGGACUUAUAUGUAUUUUAAGUCCCUCUUCAGUUCAAAACUCAGGUUCUGUCUUUUAAAACCACGGUGUAUAACACGUAACGUUGGAAAGAGUUUAAAAUAUAGCCAUUUAAAAACACUUCAAAUACAUUUUCACAUUAAUACGGUAAACUUUUAACAAUUGUUCAUAAAAUCUUGUAUAAUUACAACUUUUAAAGAAUGUGUAUGUUCUACAAUAUAACGUCGCAGCAACGAUGAUCGUUUUACAGAUUAAUAAUACGUAGUAUAUUACUAUUAACACAUUUUCAAGAGAAUACAUAUACACUUUUACAAUAUAUUUAUCUGAAUUGAUCGGU